rnacentral:lncRNA from 1 species
UCCCUAUCACGCUGAUUCCAUUCUUCCCCAUCUGAAUCCCCGUCGUUUCCACUCUUCCAUGGCUCAAUUAAUCCUUUUCGAUUAGUGAUUCCAUUCUCUAAGGUUAUUGCUCAAUGAAUUUGGCUUCAAUUCCGAUUUCUAGCUUCCAAAUUGGUGGUUCAACUCACAGCUUCUUCAUAUCGGUGGUUCAACCGUGGCUGACUAUAAGAGGGGAGACACUUCUCCACAUGGAUUCAAGUUCUAAUCAUCUCCAUCCUUGCAUCUAUCAACUACAUUAGGUAAGCAUGAAGGAACCUUUCCAAUUUAUCGAUUCUAUAAUCUCCGUCAAUCAAUAUCGUCUAAAUCAAACAUUCACGGUUUGCGAAUCGUACAUGCAUGUUGAAUUUAUUGUCAAACUAUGCAUCUAAGUGAAUCUUUUUUCGUGAAUCAUAACUCAGGACAUAAACAAUCAAUGGAUGUUGAAGGUUCUGUGAUGGAAGAUAUUGAUUGAUGAGUUCAUUAUUGUUGAUGUUGCUGGACUUGAACGACCCUGCUUUUGCUGGACUGCUGAUGAUUUUGUUGCUGAAUUGUUGCUGCUGUUUAUGUUAAGUUUCCACAAUUUGUUAAGUUUGGUUAAGGAUGAUGGAUUGCUUAUUUUAUUUGAUUAAGUUUUCACAGUUUCAAACACUGAAUCACACAGUUCAUGUUCAAGGAACUUGCAAUUACUAUUUUUGAAAAGUCUUCAUUUCUGCAUUUUUUGCAUUUCUGCAAUUCUGCAAUUUCUGCAGUUCUGGUC